UUUUUUUGGGGAAAGCCCCCUAAAUUUUGGGGGGAAAGCCUCUUGGUUAUACCCCGCUCCUAUGACUUACCCACAGAAUAAGCACCGGCUAACUUCGUGCCAGCAGCCGCGGUAAUACGAAGGGUGCAAGCGUUACUCGGAAUUACUGGGCGUAAAGCGUGCGCAGGUGGUUGUUUAAGUCUGUUGUGAAAUCCCUGGGCUCAACUUGGGAACUGCAUUGGAAACUGGAAGACUAGAGUGUGGUAGAGGGUAGUGGAAUUCCUGGUGUAGCAGUGAAAUGCGUAGAGAUCAGGAGGAACAUCCAUGGCUAAGGCAGCUCCCUGGACCAAUACUGACACUGAUGCACGAAAGCGUGGGGAGCAAACAGGAUUAGAUACCCUGGUAGUCCACGCCCUAAACGAUGCCAACUGGUUGUUGGGUGCAAUUUGGCUCGCUUUCAUCAAAUCUUAACUUGUUAAUUUUCCUCCGCCUGGGGAUAUAUGGUGGCGCAAGAUUAAAACUCAAGGGAUUUGAGGG
rnacentral:rRNA from 1 species